rnacentral:rRNA from 1 species
UACGUAGGGUGCGAGCGUUAAUCGGAAUUACUGGGCGUAAAGCGUGCGCAGGCGGUUGGCCGUGUCCGAUGUGAAAGCCCCGGGCUUAACCUGGGAAUGGCAUUGGAAACUGGCUGGCUGGAGUGUGGCAGAGGGGGGUGGAAUUCCACGUGUAGCAGUGAAAUGCGUAGAGAUCAGGAGGAACAUCCGUGGCGAAGGCGACUGCCUGGGCCAACACUGACACUGAGGCACGAAAGCGUGGGGAGCAAAC